UUUCUCCAUCCUUAAGAGCACCGUUCUUCUCCCAGCUUGGCUGAGCCGGGAAGCUCCCGUUUAUCCAUCACUGCAAGCCCCAGCAAACCCUCCCCUCUCCCUUCUCCCCCUCCACCUCAAAGAAGAGGGGUCCUUCCCCACCACCCGUGUCUGUCUGCCUGCCGUGCCACAGGGAGCCGUGGGGGAAGAAGAGCCCACUGACCACCCACAGGAGUCGCAAUGAAGGAUCGCACUCAGGAGUUGAGAAGUGCCAAAGACAGUGAUGAUGAGGAAGAGGUGGUACAUGUGGAUCGAGACCAUUUCAUGGAUGAAUUCUUUGAACAGGUGGAGGAAAUCCGUGGCUGCAUUGAAAAGCUCUCAGAGGACGUGGAGCUGGUGAAGAAACAGCACAGUGCCAUCUUGGCUGCCCCCAACCCAG